GUUAAGGCCCAUUAACUAAAACCACCAAAUGUUCCCACAAACCCUAAAGCGUCAGAACAGAACCCGGUCACUAUAAAAUCGAAUAAUACCUUCAUUGCUACGAAUAUCAUAGCCGCCGCUGGUUUUUCCAAAGCCAUAGAAAAACCGAGAGGUCAAUCUUAGAGUUUCAACCUGAGGUGGAUGGAACAUUUCGCUAAUCAUUUCCGCUGUCAUAGAUAGUAAUCGUUAUGACUCAAAUAUACUUAUAGAUGACGAAAGUUUGUGAUUUUUUAUUAUUGAAAUAUGUGUUAAAAUCUUAAGUGAUAAAGAUGAAGAAAAUAUAUUUUGAUAUUGCAAAAUUACAAACAAUCUGGAAGUUGAUGAAGAUGGCAUAGCUACGAGGGAGUUUGAUAGUUGAGAUGGUGCAGAAUUGAGUUGGGUAAAGUGAGGCUGGUGGUGGAGCCUGCGAGGUGGGAAGCUGGCCUUGAAGUUUCAUGGGGGUUUCGUGAUUGUAGGUCUGGGUUUGAUGAGCAGUUUAGGUUACAACAAAAUGAAGAUAAACAUGUCUAAAACAAUAACAUAGAAUAAAUAGAAAUAUUUAAGAGAUUACUGUUAUAGGACUACAUACAUUUUAACAAGAAUCCUUUUGGAGUCGUUUAUGAUCGGCCGAUAGAGUAUGAAUGAACCCUGUUAUUGUCAAAAGUGCUUGGUGAUGUGCAUGAUUGUGGUGCUGCUGUACAGAAUGUGUAUAUUUGGCAGCCUAGAAAACAUAGGCAGCCUAAGAAUUGUGUUUGGCGUUAGGUUUAGAGACCAACUGAGCAGGUAGUUGUUGCUCGGCAUGAGACUCUUGUGGCUCCUAGUGAGCCUACUAAUCUGCAGGAAGCUCCAUGGACGCUGGUUAGUACUGGGUGUUGGGAUGUUAGGCAAGAGUGGCAUGUGGUUCCCUCAACUUCUUCCGUUUUUUCCAAGAAUAUUUCGAGCUGGAACUUCUGGGGCUUAAAUAAUUUCACUGGACAAUGAGAAGUAAUUAAGUUUUUAGUGUUUAAUAAAAUUGUUUUGGUUGGUUCACUAGAGACUAGAGUAAAGUAGCCUAAGGCAAGUGCAAUUUGCACAAGCUUCAAUAAUUGUUGGAUGUUUGCGGAUAACUAUACUUCUGCUAUUAAUGCAGAAUUUGGGUAUUUUGGGAUCCUUCUCUUGUGACUUUAAUAAUGUUUUGCCUACGGUUGACCAUCUUGGUGGCUUGCGGAUGACUGAUAUACAAGUGCAAGAACUUUGCUAUAUUGGAUGGUCUUUCUCGUGGUGUAAUAAAUAACAGGAAAAAUUGAUUUAUACUAAGAUUGAUGAGUGUUUUGGAAAUGGCGAGUGGAUUCAGAAGUAUGGGAAUGCCAUUGUGGAAGUUUUGAAUCCCAAAGGGUCUGACCAUUUUCCGCUUUAUUGGCAAUAUGAUCUGGCUUGAGCUCCCAAGCUGAAGCCAUUUAAGUUUCUAAAUUGUCUUGUUGGACAUCCAUCUUUUAGUGAGACUGUUGCUAGAGUUUGGAAUAUGGAAUGUACUGGAGUUCAGAUGUUUAGAGUUUGGACGAAGUUGAAGCAGCUGCACCUCUUCUUAGGCAAAUGACUAUGCAUUAUUCUCAGGUGCACUUGAAGAUUGCACCAGCUUGAAGUAAUAUGCUGGCUAAGCCGACUGAUCUACAACAAGAUCCUGUUAAUGCUCAUUUGUUAGCGGAAAUGCAGGAACAUAAGAAUGUUUAUGAGCAUUGAUUACUUAUUGAAGAUAAGAUCUUAAAACAGAAAUUAAAGGUGCAUUGGUUGAAUGUUAGGGAUGGAAAUAAAUGGUAUUUUCAUGCUAGCUUACAAAAUAAGGGUGGUAGGCAGUGUAUUUAUGUGUUGUUUGAUCGUAUGGUGCUAAACUUACCAAUGAAGCUGAUAUAAGGAGGGAAAUAUUUUAUUUCUAUAAAGGGCUUCUUGGAAGUUUAGCACCAAUUUUUUUACUAUGAAUGAAUAGUGCUAUUUUUUUUAUAUAAACGUUAUGAAGGCUA